UACGUAGGAUCCGAGCGUUAUCCGAAUUCACUGGGCGUAAAGCGCGUGUAGGCGGUUCAGUAAGUUGGAUGUGAAAGCUCCUGGCUCAACUGGGAGAGGACGUUCAAUACUGUUGGACUAGAGGGCGAGAGAGGGAGGUGGAAUUCCCGGUGUAGUGGUGAAAUGCGUAGAUAUCGGGAGGAACACCAGUGGCGAAGGCGGCCUCCUGGCUCGUACCUGACGCUCAGGCGCGAAAGCUAGGGGAGCGAACAGG
rnacentral:rRNA from 1 species